CAUAUACUCCCUCCGUCCAACAAAUGAUGUCUCAACUUUGAUUAAAUUUGAAUGCAUCUAUACAUUGAGUCAUGUCUAGAUACAUCCAAAUUUUGACAAACUUGAGACAUCUUUUGUUGGACGGAGGGAGUAGAAG
rfam:Brachypodium distachyon strain Bd21 chromosome 2, whole genome shotgun sequence.